rnacentral:rRNA from 1 species
AGGACGAACGCUGGCGGCGUGCUUAACACAUGCAAGUCGAACGGUAAGGCCCUUCGGGGUACACGAGUGGCGAACGGGUGAGUAACACGUGGGUGAUCUGCCCUGCACUUUGGGAUAAGCCUGGGAAACUGGGUCUAAUACCGAAUAUGACCAUGGGAUGCAUGUCUUGUGGUGGAAAGCUUUUGCGGUGUGGGAUGGGCCCGCGGCCUAUCAGCUUGUUGGUGGGGUUACGCCUACCAAGGCGACGACGGGUAGCCGGCCUGAGAGGGUGUCCGGCCACACUGGGACUGAGAUACGGCCCAGACUCCUACGGGAGGCAGCAGUGGGGAAUAUUGCACAAUGGGCGAAAGCCUGAUGCAGCGACGCCGCGUGAGGGACGAAGGCCUUCGGGUUGUAAACCUCUUUCAGCACAGACGAAGCGCAAGUGACGGUAUGUGCAGAAGAAGGACCGGCCAACUACGUGCCAGCAGCCGCGGUAA